rnacentral:rRNA from 1 species
AUUGAACGCUGGCGGCAGGCUUAACACAUGCAAGUCGAGCGGAGUGAUGGUGCUUGCACUAUCACUUAGCGGCGGACGGGUGAGUAAUGCUUAGGAAUCUGCCAUUUAGUGGGGGACAACAUUCCGAAAGGAAUGCUAAUACCGCAUACGUCCUACGGGAGAAAGCAGGGGAUCUUCGGACCUUGCGCUAAAUGAUGAGCCUAAGUCGGAUUAGCUAGUUGAUGGGGUAAAGGCCUACCAAGGCGACGAUCUGUAGCGGGUCUGAGAGGAUGAUCCGCCACACUGGGACUGAGACACGGCCCAGACUCCUACGGGAGGCAGCAGUGGGGAAUAUUGGACAAUGGGCGGAAGCCUGAUCCAGCCAUGCCGCGUGUGUGAAGAAGGCCUUUUGGUUGUAAAGCACUUUAAGCGAGGAGGAGGCUCUUCUAGUUAAUACCUAGGAUGAGUGGACGUUACUCGCAGAAUAAGCACCGGCUAACUCUGUGCCAGCAGCCGCCGUAAUAC